rnacentral:lncRNA from 1 species
CACAGAUGUGCCUCCUGAUGGCUCCCAUCAGAACAGGCAUUUCUGGCAAGAGAGCAGCUCUGAUCCCCUGGCUUUCCUGGACCAGGCCCCUAUAAUUCUUUAAUGCAAGAAGCCAGAGGACUGGAAUGAGGAUAUUUACCCCCAGGAUUCAUUUAGGGGAACUUGGCUUUCUUGGCCACAUAGUAUAGUGAAAACUGCCCUAUGCAGACAGCAUGGGGAACAUGAGGAUGGACAAGUGUCACUCUUCACAGGCUAGUAAUUAAUUUUAUUUUUCCAUUUUAAGGAUGGGAAAGAGUCUUUCUACUCCUAAAUUAGAUAUAUCCCUUUAUUAAAUAUAUCCUAAGAUGGAGAGAUCCUUUGAGAGACCAUCCUUGAAGCUGGAUGAGACCAAGCUUUCUGAAAAUUGAGACCCCCUUGUACAGCUUUUGUCCCAGACAUUCGAACCUGAUCAGUUGGAAAGAAGUUUGGUAUUAAAAAUUCAUUCUCCCUAGUACUUUUGGUGAAGUGGAGUCACCUUCAUUCCGGUCAGACUAAGGGCAACGAGGGCACAGUGUCUUACUGAUGAGAUUGACCUCACAGUGGUGGUCUUGUGUUUAGGGCUUUUACUAUCAUUAGUAGCACAGGAGAGAAUUCAGGGAGGUUGUAUGGGAAGAACACUCCUGAUGAGUUUUUUUUUUUUUUUUUUUUUUGGUAUUGGGGAUGGGACUCAGGGGCAUUUAACCACUGAGCCACAUCCCUAGACCGUAUUAUAUUUUAUUUAGAGACAGCGUCUUGGUAAGUUGCUGAGGCUGGCUUUGAACUCACAAUCCUCCUGCCUCAGCUUCCUGAGCUGCUGGGAUUACAGGUAUGUGCCAUUGCACCCAGUGUAAUGAGGUAUUUUUAUGAAAAGUAUGCUGGCUGUACAUGUGGAUUUCUUAUUUUGGAAAAAUGCUAGUGGUCAUCGGCAUGAUCCUUCUAUUAUGCAUCUUUCAGUCUUUUCUGAGUGAAAAUCAGUCCACUUCUGACCAUUAAUUGUUGGGAGGAAUGGAGGAUUAGUAUUACUGACUACCUUUAGUGUGCCAGUCACCCAGGUUUGCCAGAUACUCACCAGAAAUUAAUUAAUUUAAUACUUGUAAUGACUCUGAAAUUAUUACCCCUAUUUUAUGGAUGAGGCUUAGAGUAGAGGCUUAGAGAAGUCUUUUUUAUUUUAUUUUUUUACUAGUUGCUCAAAACAUUACAAUGAUCUUGAGAGAAGUCUUUUUUAAGGUCCCAGAACUACUAAGCAAGACAUUGUGAUUCUCAUAUUUUUGAUUCUUCUCAUUCAUAAAAGAACUCUCAGAGAUAAACAUACAGGCAAUUCAUAAUCAAAAUUUCUUAAAUCAUUUGUGUUAAGAUAGGUGAAAGGAUCUUGCCAAAGUUAGGGACAUUUGUAGGUUGCUUUUAAGUUCAACACACACUAAUAUUUUUGUGAAUGAUUAGGCCUAUUUGUUUUUAUAUAUGGCUUUCCUAUCUUCACUCUACUGCCACUUAUUUAAGAGAGGAAAACAUAUUUUUUAAUUGUACUGAGACUUCGUGUCAAAGCAGUGAGUGAAAAAGUUAUCAUGGAUUUGCAAAUGGGAGGGAUUAUAGGAGGUAGCAUCUGGAACUCCAGGAAAACCCCACUCCUAUCUUUUUCUCACUUUGGCAUGAAUCACAUGUUUUGACCUUUGUUAUUUCCCCCCGUGUCCCAAAAGUCAAGAGCUAAGAAAAGCAACCUUGUUGGGCGGCCAGCCCCACCUUAAAGGCAGGUGAGGGUUAGGUUUAUACAUACCCAGUAAACAUCCAGAAUAAUCCUUCUGGCCAAUAGGACUACUGAGAGGCUCUCUCAAAAUUCAUCCUGGUGGGCCUCCAUCUGUCACUUUUUUCCUCACUCUUUGCCCCAACCAAUUCUGGAUUCAGUAAGUCAGAAGGGAAAAGACCAAGGCAAUUCAAAGAAGUAAAAUGGAAAAGUAAUGUUCAUACAAGGAUAAGAGUGUAGUUCAGAUAUGAUCAGGGUGGAGGUGUAUACUGGGAGGGGGAGAUCCAGUUAGGGAAAGAUUGUACAUGCAGAUUCUCUUUUUAUUCUGGCUACCAGGGAGAUUCCAGUCCCUCUCAGUUUCUCUGGGUUCCCAGUGGCAAAACACAAUAAUAAUAUUCAGCUUAGUCCCCCUCUUUUAGUCUGUUGGCUGUAAAUACAACUGAUUGUCAAAAUUGUCACUGAUAACAAGUGAUAACAAGUCUCCCUCCACGGAAGAUGGAUAAUACUCAAUAUCUCUCAAAAGACUAAGUUUGGAAACACAUUCACAUUGCAGAAGUUUGGUGUUACCAAUUCAUAUAGAAGAGUCUGAAGUUAAACUCCAGAUUUGCAGGUAAGUAUCAGGGAGUUCCAAUAUUUCUAUUGUCCCUCCAAAGACUGACUGGACCUCUAGGCAAGAGGAGGCAUUGAUAAGAAUCUCAAGAGACAGAAUAAGAUUCUCACCUCACCUCCCAAUGAGCACUUCUGCUUGCCAUAGAGAGACAGCGCAAGGAGGAUCUGCUGAGGCAUACCACCAGGUGCUGGGGUCUGAGGAUGGAAAAGUGCCACAGACAUACCCAGAGGCUGCUGGUCUUCUCAGAUGCCGAGUGAAGGGGCAGCAUCAUGGGGACACGAGAGGAAACUGUCCUGGUCUCUAUGCACACUUCCUUUGAUAGAGUAGUUUAUGAAAGUCAAAGAGGACUCUGGGAGGGCAAUGAAUUCAUUCUUUGCCCACAGACAUGAUUUUAAUCAUCAGUUUUUGAUAUAUUCCAGAAAAAGGAGACUCUCUGGUUGUGUGGCAUAGUGGUACCCUUGGAAGCAGGCUGUCUUGUGCUUAUGUCCUGGCUUUGCCACUUACCAGCCAUGUGACCUUGGGCAAUACCUGUACCUCCUUAUGCUUUGGUUUCUUUAUUUGUAAAAUAGCAAUGGAUCCUUGUGAAGAUUAAACAGAUUAGAACAUAACUACUUUGAACAGUGACUUGCAUAUAAAAAAGUUCUCCAAGACUGUAGGACAUCAAUCAUGAUUAUUACUAGUAACUUCUUGCAGUUGCUAAUGAUUUUUUUUUCCAAGGGAAUUUUCAUUUUAAAAUUCUUUUUGCAGAAUCUUCAGAAAGCUUUUCUUUUCCCAACUAAUUGAAAUGGGGAUGACUUAUCAUAGGAUUUAUUGAAGGGACCUCAGGCUGUAUCUAGUCAGUCUUCUUCACCUUACAAAUGAGUCCAGGGAGGUGAUGGGCUCAAAUUCUUAAAGGGCAAAACUAGAUUUGAAACCCAAGUUAUAGUCUAAGAUUUCUUUUUCCAUUUUGUAAUAACUUCAUGCAUAGCAAUUAAACAUUGUCUAAUUUCUUUGUGGCUCACUUAGGGCAACUCAGAAACGGACCAGGCCUUAUCCUGUGGAAGGGGCUCAUCAGUGGUGAUUAUAAUAAACUGUCAUAAUCAUGGCACCUCAUUGGCUUUAUUUUUCUUUACAGCAUUAUCCUAUUGUAGACUUUCCCUUUUGUUGAAAAAGAAAGGAGGGGCGCUAUUGUCUCUGAAUGGAAGGAGGGAAAGACUGUAAGGCAGGCUGUGGCUAUUGAUCCAUCUGUUCCUCAGCAGAGCAGGCUGGAGGCCCUGCUGUGAGGAGCAGGAUCCCUAAUGAGCAGGGUUGUACAGGUUGAGAUGAGAGAGAAGGAGACCAGCCUUUCUUCUUUCACCCAGCAACACGUGCUGCACACCUGCUAUGUGCUCAGUAUGAUGCUAGGUAUCUAUAGGAAUGCAAAAAAUCCAGGGCAGUGUUUGAGACUUCAAGGAAUUUCUUUAGAAAGAGACAGAGAUCACAGACUGAACUGUAGGCAAGCUCUGGAGUUCUUCAAGGGCCUUGUACUCCCACAACAGAGAGAAAACUUCUUGUUCUCUAAGCCCACAAGUUGGGAACUCAGCUUGGCUGGAAAGAGAAAGAUUUUCCAGGUGGCCGGAGGAGAGAGUCGCAGGGAUGUGGACCGGAAGUGCAUGGGUAAUAGAGCACUUUCCUGGGGCAACCAGGUGUCAGGGUAUGGAGGAAAGAAUUCAGAGUUCUUAUGGUUUUGCCACUAACUGGUUGUGUGAUACUGGGGAAUUCACUUCAUUUCUCCAUUCUUCAUGUUCUACUUCUUCUCAUGAAAAGGUUGAAAUCAGGCAGAGGUUAAAGUUUCUCACUGUUCUACCACUCUGUGCGUGUAGGAGUGGAUAUCCUCAUAUGCAAAGAGAAAUCGGCUUUGAUGUGGAGAAAUGGGCUAGGUGUGAACUCAAAGACUUUGAGCUGAUUCUUCCUAUUGAAGAGGGUCAUUGAUGCUGAGCCACCUCUCUGAUUUCCACUGAUAGUGCCAGUGACCCUGGCCCCUUUGUGGUUCUUUGAUCCUUAUUUAUGAACUUGGUGCAUGAAACUCUUCCUCACUGCUUUAGAAGACCAGGGCAGUUAAUCUCCUGCCAUUCACUCAUGAUUAUAGCACAGGAGCAAAGCAAACAUGGUUGAGGUCUCAAUGUAGGAAGAGCCUCCCACAUGAUAGCUAAGACAGCACACACGAGGCUGCAGUUCCUUGGCAUUGUCCCUGUGGAGGCUGGCUUCCCUUUUCAAUGCCUCUGAAUAAUACUUUGUCAGAUGGCAAGUGAAGUUGGAACUUGGCCCAGGCUUGUGACUCCAGCAUGCCCGGUAGCCCUGGAGGCUGAACCCCUAAAGCAUGGUGUGGGCUUGCACACAGUCACCCUACUCCUCAGAUUUCUCUGGAAUGACUUCAUGGAGAGGAGGAAAACUCAAGAACCUCACUUGGGUGGCAUGUGUUUUAUUUUAGCUUCAUAAUUUAUUGGGACAUUGAUCUGCAAGUGUAGCCGAGGCUGCAGCUUGUGUCCUAGAGCGGAGGCAGCUUGGGACCAGCAAAGGAGAUGCAUCUUCCACUUUGUACACCUUCCUUUUCUGGAGAAUCAGUCCAUAGAUAUGGUCACACAAGUUGGGAGAGAGUCAAGGCAAAGGGAUUAACAUGACGACAUCUCAUUUUCCACUUGUCAAUAAUUUAAUUCUGCCUUCAUCCUUUUCAUGUUGUAAGUUUUGAUCUUUUCUGGUCUGCUUCCCUACUCCAAUCUAUCCCCCAGCACAUACUUUGUGCUAAUUAGUGGACUUCCAUCACCUGGGCUUGAAAAAUGAAAGUUUGAGCUACUGUGUAAGACCCCUCAGCAAGAUAAGUAGGAAAAGCAGUUUCCUUUUCCCAACUCACAGAAAAGCUAUUGUUAUUAUGUGUCUUAAAAGUGUACAUUAAAAUGUUAUUUCUAACAGAGGACUCAGAAAACACCUAAAUUCCAAAUACUGGGUGCCCUGUCCAUAUCCCGGCCUUUGCUGAAAUAUCACCUUCCUUGACAUCCUGAUGGAAAAUUGUAAUCUCUCUAGCCCCUUGGCAACACCUUCUCUGAUAUUCUCUCUCUCUCUGUUUUAUUUAUCUAACAUAUUUACUUAUUUAAUUUUGUAUUUAUUUCCAUCAAAAUAUGAGCUUCAUGAACUUCCCAGAGCCAUAUCCCUAGUGUUUCUAAAAAUGUACCUGGCA